AUGAUGGCUAUGCACAUGCAAAUGUUAGACCAGCAUCUUCAUUGCCCUACAUUUGGGACUCAUCGGAUCCUAAACCAAACCACACCUACUAUUUCAAAUUCAAACACUAGCAAUCAACACAAGACUAGGCUUGGUGGGAAGGCUGAAACUUCAAAAAGCUGGCUGCUGAAGGAAUUGUUUGUAGGACAGAAGCUUGAAGAAUGGGAAACAGAAGAUUAA